rnacentral:rRNA from 1 species
ACGAACGCUUGCGGCGUGCUUAACCCCUGCCAGUCGCACGGAAAGGCCCUGCUUGCAGGGUACUCGAGUGGCGAACGGGUGAGUAACACGUGGGUGAUCUGCCCUGCACUUCGGGAUAAGCCUGGGAAACUGGGUCUAAUACCGGAUAGGAGCCAUUUUUAGUGUGAUGGUUGGAAAGUUUUUUCGGUGUAGGAUGAGCUCGCGGCCUAUCAGCUUGUUGGUGGGGUAAUGGCCUACCAAGGCGGCGACGGGUAGCCGGCCUGAGAGGGUGGACGGCCACAUUGGGACUGAGAUACGGCCCAGACUCCUACGGGAGGCAGCAGUGGGGAAUAUUGCACAAUGGGCGCAAGCCUGAUGCAGCGACGCCGCGUGGGGGAUGACGGCCUUCGGGUUGGAAACUCCUUUCGCUAGGGACGAAGCUUUUUGUGACGGUACCUAGAUAAGAAGCACCGGCUAACUACGUG